AGUGAACGCUGGCGGUAGACCUAACACAUGCAAGUCGAACGGCAGCACAGUAAGAGCUUGCUCUUACGGGUGGCGAGUGGCGGACGGGUGAGGAAUACAUCGGAAUCUACUUUUUCGUGGGGGAUAACGUAGGGAAACUUACGCUAAUACCGCAUACAACCUACGGGUGAAAGCAGGGGAUCUUCGGACCUUGCGCGAUUGAAUGAGCCGAUGUCGGAUUAGCUAGUUGGCGGGGUAAAGGCCCACCAAGGCGACGAUCCGUAGCUGGUCUGAGAGGAUGAUCAGCCACACUGGAACUGAGACACGGUCCAGACUCCUACGGGAGGCAGCAGUGGGGAAUAUUGGACAAUGGGCGCAAGCCUGAUCCAGCCAUACCGCGUGGGUGAAGAAGGCCUUCGGGUCGUAAAGCCCUUUUGUUGGGAAAGAAAAGCAGCAGGUUAAUACCCCGCUGUUCUGACGGUACCCAAAGAAUAAGCACCGGCUAACUUCGUG
rnacentral:rRNA from 1 species